AGCGAACGCUGGCGGCAGGCCUAACACAUGCAAGUCGAACGAACUCUUCGGAGUUAGUGGCGGACGGGUGAGUAACACGUGGGAACGUGCCUUUUGGUUCGGAAUAACUCAGGGAAACUUGUGCUAAUACAGAAUGUGCCCUUCGGGGGAAAGAUUUAUCGUCAUUAGAGCGGCCCGCGUCUGAUUAGCUUGUUGGUGAGGUAACGGCCCACCAAGGAGACGAUCAGUAGCUGGGCUGAGAGGAUGACCAGCCACACUGGGACUGAGACACGGCCCAGACUCCUACGGGAGGCAGCAGUGGGGAAUCUUGCGCAAUGGGCGAAAGCCUGACGCAGCCAUGCCGCGUGAAUGAUGAAGGUCUUAGGAUUGUAAAAUUCUUUCACCGGGGACGAUAAUGACGGUACCCGGAGAAGAAGCCCCGGCUAACUUCGUG
rnacentral:rRNA from 1 species